UACGUAGGGUGCGAGCGUUAAUCGGAAUUACUGGGCGUAAAGCGUGCGCAGGCGGUUCGCAAAGUCUGAUGUGAAAGCCCCGGGCUCAACCUGGGAACUGCAUUGGAAACUAACGGGCUCGAGUGUGGCAGAGGGGGGGUGGGAAUUCCACGUGUAGCAGUGAAAUGCGUAGAGAUGUGGAGGAACACCGAUGGCGAAGGCAGCCCCCCUGGGCUAACACUGACGCUCAGGCACGAAAGCGUGGGGAGCAAACAGG
rnacentral:rRNA from 1 species